rnacentral:lncRNA from 1 species
AGAGCUCUGUAAAUGAAGCUUUCGAAGCUGGAGCUUUUGUAAAUGAAGCUUUCGAAGCUGGAGCUUUUGUAAAUGAAGCUUUUGAAGCUAGAGCUCUGUAAAUGAAGCUUUUGAAGCUGAUUGACAUGAGUGAUGCUUAUGAAUGUUUAUGUUGAUUGACAUGAGUGAUGCUUAUGGAUGUUGUCAUGAGUGAUGCUCAUGAAUGUUAACAUGAGUGAUGCUCAUGAAUGUUGACAUGAAUGAUGGUCAUGAAUGUUCAUGUAUGAUUGUCAUGAGUGAUGCUCGUGAAUGUUUAUGUAUGA